AGUGAACGCUGGCGGCAGGCCUAAUACAUGCAAGUCGAACGGCAGCACAGCAGAGCUUGCUCUGUGGGUGGCGAGUGGCGGACGGGUGAGGAAUACAUGGGAAUCUGCCCAGUCGUGGGGGAUAACGUAUGGAAACGUACGCUAAUACCGCAUGCGCCCUACGGGGGAAAGGUCGGGGACCGCAAGGCCUGACGCGAUUGGAUGAGCUCAUGUUCGAUUAGCUAGUUGGCGGGGUAAAGGCCCACCAAGGCGACGAUCGAUAGCUGGUCUGAGAGGAUGAUCAGCCACACUGGAACUGAGACACGGUCCAGACUCCUACGGGAGGCAGCAGUAGGGAAUAUUGGACAAUGGGGGCAACCCUGAUCCAGCCAUGCCGCGUGAGUGAAGAAGGCCCUCGGGUUGUAAAGCUCUUUUGUCCGGAAAGAAAGCAAUCGGUUAAUACCCGGUUGUUCUGACGGUACCGGAAGAAUAAGCACCGGCUAACUUCGUGCC
rnacentral:rRNA from 1 species